rnacentral:rRNA from 1 species
CCUACGGGAGGCAGCAGUGGGGAAUAUUGCGCAAUGGGCGAAAGCCUGACGCAGCGACGCCGCGUGAGGGAUGAAGGUCUUCGGAUCGUAAACCUCUGUCAGCAGGGAAGAACGGUCACUGUGCUAAUCAGCAGUGCAUUGACGGUACCUGCAAAGGAAGCACCGGCUAACUCCGUGCCAGCAGCCGCGGUAAUACGGAGGGUGCGAGCGUUAAUCGGAAUUACUGGGCGUAAAGCGCUCGUAGGCGGUAUGUCAAGUCAAGGGUGAAAUCCCCGCGCUCAACGUGGGAACUGCCUUUGAAACGGGAUAACUGGAGUGUGUGAGAGGAUAGUGGAAUUCCAGGUGUAGGAGUGAAAUCCGGAGAUAUCUGGAGGAACAUCAGUGGCGAAGGCGACUAUCUGGCACAUAACUGACGCUGAGGAGCGAAAGCGUGGGUAGCAAACAGGAUUAGAUACCCGAGUAGUC